GAUGAACGCCGGCGGCGUGCCUAACACAUGCAAGUCGAACGGACAUUUUUUGGGAAAGUUCUUCGGAACCGGAAUCUAAAAUGUUAGUGGCGGACGGGUGAGUAACGUGUGGGCAACCUGCCCUGUACUGGGGAAUAAUCAUUGGAAACGAUGACUAAUACCGCAUGUGGUCCUCGGAAGGCAUCUUCUGAGGAAGAAAGGAUUUAUUCGGUACAGGAUGGGCCCGCAUCUGAUUAGCUAGUUGGUGGGGUAAUGGCCCACCAAGGCGACGAUCAGUAGCCGGCCUGAGAGGGUGAACGGCCACAUUGGGACUGAGACACGGCCCAA
rnacentral:rRNA from 1 species